rnacentral:rRNA from 1 species
GAUGAACGCUGGCGGCGUGCCUAAUACAUGCCAGUCGAGCGAACGGACGAGAAGCUUGCUUUUCUGAUGUUAGCGGCGGACGGGUGAGUAACGCGUGGAUAACCUACCUAUAAGACUGGGAUAACUUCGGGAAACCGGAGCUAAUACCGGAUAAUAUUUUGAACCGCAUGGUUCAAAAGUGAAAGACGGUCUUGCUGUCACUUAUAGAUGGAUCCGCGCUGCAUUAGCUAGUUGGUAAGGUAACGGCUUACCAAGGCAACGAUGCAUAGCCGACCUGAGAGGGUGAUAGGACACACUGGAACUGAGACACGGUCCAGACUCCUACGGGAGGCAGCAGUAGGGAAUCUUCCGCAAUGGGCGAAAGCCUGACGGAGCAACGCCGCGUGAGUGAUGAAGGUCGUCGGAUCGUAAAACUCUGUUAUUAGGGAAGAACAUAUGUGUAAGUAACUGUGCACAUCUUGACGGUACCUAAUCAGAAAGCCACGGCUAACUACGUG